rnacentral:rRNA from 1 species
GAACGAACGCUGGCGGCGUGGCUAAGGCAUGCAAGUCGAACGAACAUAUUACCAACGGGUAACGUGAGGGAUAUGUUAGUGGCGAACGGGUGAGGAAUACAUGGACAACGUACCCGUGGACUCGGGGAUAGCGGCGGGCCGCAAGGCUCUUUAGCGAAAGUGCCGGUAAUACCCGAUGACCCCGCGUGAUCGCAGUGAUCGAGCGGGCAAAGCUCCGACGGUCCGGGAUCGGUUCAUGUCCAUCAGCUAGUUGGUG